rnacentral:rRNA from 1 species
UACAGGGGGGGCAAGCGUUGUUCGGAAUUACUGGGCGUAAAGGGCCAGUAGGCGGCCAACUAAGUCGGAUGUGAAAUCCCCAGGCUUAACCUGGGAACUGCAUCCGAUACUGGAUGGCUUGAAUUCGGGAGAGGGAUGCAGAAUUCCAGGUGUAGCGGUGAAAUGCGUAGAUAUCGGGAGGAACAUCAGUGGCGAAGGCGACCGCCUGGCCCAACACUGACGCUGAGGUGCGAAAGCGUGGGUAGCAAACAGG